AGUAGGGGAUUGCGGCGACCUCUGAUCCACCCGACGUUUAGUCAAAUCAGCGGACAGCGUAUGCGAUAACUUCACUGGCGAAAACUGCUCGUUCCUAGGAGUAGACGGUUUCAUGGGUGGCAUUUCAUUUCCUUGGGUAGGAAUUAUCUCAGAUGGAGGACUCUCUGUCUUGGAUGAGGAAACGGAGGUAUUCCUCAAAUUAGCUUCGGACCCCGACGAAUGCGAAAACUCUUCAUAUGCGCCAGAAGGCCUUGCCAACUGCUGCGAUUUAACAGGUAUCCUGCUCACUACCCUUUUUUCAGACUUUGGGGUUAUGGCAGCGGAAGACAACGAUGACAUUUCUCGGUUAUAUGUAUCACUCAGACGGAGGUUUUGAGCCGCAGAAUUAGUGCCACUACUUUCUGAAAUGCACGCUGUUGAAACAUCAGUACUCUUGCUACCUUCGCCAUCGAGGCCGUCAUCUUCAUCAACGCCGAUAGACAAAAGUCCAAUUUCGAGCCCUGGA
rnacentral:sRNA from 1 species